CCUACGGGAGGCAGUAGUGGGGAAUAUUGGACAAUGGGCGAAAGCCUGAUCCAGCAAUGCCGCGUGAGUGAUGAAGGCCUUAGGGUUGUAAAGCUCUUUUACCCGGGAUGAUAAUGACAGUACCGGGAGAAUAAGCCCCGGCUAACUCCGUGCCAGCAGCCGCGGUAAUACGGAGGGGGCUAGCGUUGUUCGGAAUUACUGGGCGUAAAGCGCACGUAGGCGGUUAUUCAAGUCAGAGGUGAAAGCCUGGAGCUCAACUCCAGAACUGCCUUUGAAACUAGAUAACUAGAAUCAUGGAGAGGUGAGUGGAAUUCCGAGUGUAGAGGUGAAAUUCGUAGAUAUUCGGAAGAACACCAGUGGCGAAGGCGGCUCACUGGACAUGUAUUGACGCUGAGGUGCGAAAGCAUGGGGAGCAAACAGGAUUAGAUACCCUGGUAGUCCACGCCGUAAACGAUGAUAACUAGUUGUCGGGGCUCUUAGAGCUUCGGUGACGCAGCUAACGCAUUAAGUUAUCCGCCUGGGGAGUACGGUCGCAAGAUUAAAACUCAAAGGAAUUGACGG
rnacentral:rRNA from 1 species